rnacentral:rRNA from 1 species
UUCUAACCGUAAACGAUGACAACCAGCGAUUAGUCGGCGUUAAUAUAUGACCCGACUAGCAGCUUCCGGGAAACCAAAGUUUUUCGUUUCCGGGGGAAGUAUGGUUGCAAAGCUGAAACUUAAAGGAAUUGACGGAAGGGCACCACCAGGAGUGGAGCCUGCGGCUUAAUUUGACUCAACACGGGAAAACUCACCCGGCCCGGACACCGUAAGGAUUGACAGACUGAGAGCUCUUUCUUAAUUCGGUGGGUGGUGGUGCAUGGCCGUUCUUAGUUGGUGGAGCGAUUUGUCUGGUUAAUUCCGAUAACGAACGAGACUCUGGCCUAUUAAAUAGACGAUAUAUUUAAAAGUAUAUCGCGCUUCUUAGAGGGACAAGCGGCGUCUAGCCGCAUGAAAUAGAGCAAUAACAGGUCUGUGAUGCCCUUAGAUGUCCGGGGCUGCACGCGCGCUACACUGAAAGAAUCAGAGUGCGUUUUGCCUAGUUCGGAAGAACCGGGUAACCCAAGUAAAUUCUUUCGUGCUUGGGAUAGGGAAUUGCAAUUAUUUCCCUUAAACGAGGAAUUCCCAGUAAAUGCGGGUCAUAAGCUCGCGUUG